rnacentral:rRNA from 1 species
UACGUAGGGGGCAAGCGUUGUCCGGAAUCAUUGGGCGUAAAGAGCGUGUAGGCGGCUCGGUAAGUCCGCUGUGAAAGUCCAGGGCUCAACCCUGGAAUGCCGGUGGAAACUGUCGGGCUAGAGUCCGGAAGAGGCGAGUGGAAUUCCUGGUGUAGCGGUGAAAUGCGCAGAUAUCAGGAGGAACACCGAUUGCGAAGGCAGCUCGCUGGGGCGUAACUGACGCUGAGACGCGAAAGCGUGGGGAGCAAACAGG